GUGUCAGCAGCCGCGGUAAUACGAAGGGGGCUAGCGUUGUUCGGAAUCACUGGGCGUAAAGGGCGCGUAGGCGGCUUUGUAAGUCGGGGGUGAAAGCCUGUGGCUCAACCACAGAAUUGCCUUCGAUACUGCAUGGCUUGAGACCGGAAGAGGUAAGUGGAACUGCGAGUGUAGAGGUGAAAUUCGUAGAUAUUCGCAAGAACACCAGUGGCGAAGGCGGCUUACUGGUCCGGUUCUGACGCUGAGGCGCGAAAGCGUGGGGAGCAAACAGGAUUAGAAACCCUUGUAGUCC
rnacentral:rRNA from 1 species